CCCUUAGAUGUUCUGGGCCGCACGCGUGCUACACUGAGUAAAUCAAUGGGUAAGGGAACACGAAAGUGCAACCUAAUCUUGAAAUUUGCUCGUGAUGGGGAUCGACGGUUGCAAUUUUCCGUCGUGAACGAGGAAUACCUUGUAGGCGCGUGUCAUCAUCACGAGCCGAAUACGUCCCUGCCCUUUGUACACACCGCCCGUCGCUCCUACCGAUUGAGUGAUCCGGUGAGGCUCUGGGACCUGGACGGAAAGAGCGUUUCGCUUGUUCUGUUUGGGAAACUUGGUCGAACCUUAUCAUUUAGAGGAAGGAGAAGUCGUAACA
rnacentral:rRNA from 1 species